ensembl:snRNA U12 U12 minor spliceosomal RNA
GUACCUUAAACUUAUGAGUAGGGAAGAUACCAGUGUGGGGUAACGCCUAAGUCUGAGUCCUCACUGCUAAUGUGAGAUGAAUUUUUGAGCUGGUAAAGGUUGCCCCUAAGAUGAUCUACCUA